GGUAUGGUGCAGUUGGUGAACGCGUCGGAUUGUGGUUCCGAAGAUCGUGGGUUCGAGUCCCACUACC
rnacentral:tRNA from 1 species